rnacentral:lncRNA from 1 species
GGCCUCCUUCGCCCCGCCCCGUCCGCGCAGCUCGUCCGGCCCGCCCGCAGGCCAGCUUCUCUCGGGAGCCUCCACCCAGGCGCAUGGCUCCAUGAAGCAAGAGGAGGAGGCAGAGCGCGAGAGAUCCCGUCCGCCCCAGCCGCGUCUGGGCCAGGAGAAAAGCAAAACCAUAUUCCUGCUGCUGUCAGUUUUGAUGCACUGAGAAAACUUCAGAGACCUAAGCUUUUUCCAGAGAAGAGAAGCUUUACUGGUGUUCCAGCCCUAAGAAACUUAAAUCCUCAGUGUGACACAACUCAGUCCUUCUACUGCAGCAGCUCUUUUAUAAAAGCCUCCCAAAGCUCCAAGAAGGAACAAAGAAUGUGACCCAGUAAGCUCACACCAUAAGUCUAUAUUGCAGAAACCUUUGUUCAACAAAACUGCAGAUGCUCUGUUGAAUCCACUGGAGAUUGUCCUGAUACUAAGGACAAGUAUGCUCAUAUGACAUUAACAGACAAGACACUUUUCAGAAAGACAGGCAACGUGUUGGACCUUCCGGAGCUUCUCAGAAGACAGAGGGUUUUCUUUUGAGGCUGUUGUACAGUGGCCUGAUUAUAGCUCACUGUAGCCUCGAAAUUCUGGGCCGAAAUGAUCCGCCUGCCUCAGCCUCCAAAGUAGCUGAGACUACAGACAAAUCAACUCAAUCAAAGAAACCAACUCAAAGAAAGAUGGGUCUACAUACAACAAAACUGAACAAAAUCUGCAAGAAGAGUGAUUCAUACAUGGGCUAUUGAGGCAACAUGAGAUGGACAUUAAUCGACUAAGUAAAAAACAGAUUUCUUGAAGAAUUAAUAAAGAACUUUUGUUUUGGAA